rnacentral:rRNA from 1 species
AUACGAGAGGUGCAAGCGUUGUUCGGAUUUACUGGGCGUAAAGAGAGUGUAGGUGGUUUAUUAAGUCGGAUGUGAAAUCCCGGGGCUCAACCUCGGAACUGCAUUCGAUACUGAUAGGCUAGAGUUUGGGAGGGGUAAGCGGAAUUCCGUGUGUAGCAGUGAAAUGCGUAGAUAUACGGAGGAACACCUGAGGCGAAGGCGGCUUACUGGACCAAUACUGACACUGAGACUCGAAAGCGUGGGUAGCAAACAGGAUUAGAAACCCCUGUAGUCC